rnacentral:rRNA from 1 species
UACGUAGGGUGCGAGCGUUAAUCGGAAUUACUGGGCGUAAAGCGUGCGCAGGCGGUUCGUUAAGUCAGAUGUGAAAGCCCCGGGCUCAACCUGGGAACUGCAUUUGAAACUGGCGGGCUUGAGUAUGGCAGAGGGGGGUGGAAUUCCGCGUGUAGCAGUGAAAUGCGUAGAGAUGCGGAGGAACACCGAUGGCGAAGGCAGCCCCCUGGGCCAAUACUGACGCUCAUGCACGAAAGCGUGGGGAGCAAACAGG